AAGUAAAAUUCCAUGGAGGACCGAACCGACCUCCGUUGAAAAGGCGGCGGAUGAAUUGUGGGUAGCGGAGAAAUUCCAAUCGAACUCGGAGAUAGCUGGUUCUCCCCGAAAUAGCUUUAGGGCUAGCGUCGCAGCGAGAGAGCCGUGAAGGUAGAGCACUGAAUAUGCGAUGGCCGCAUCCCGCGGUACUGAGCAUAAUCAAACUCCGAAUGUCACGGUGUCAUCUGCGGCAGUCAGACGGCGAGUGAUAAGGUCCGUCGUCAAGAGGGAAACAGCCCAGACCAUCAGCUAAGGUCCCCAAUGCCGUGCUAAGUGGCGAAGGAUGUGGCAUUUCAUAAACAACCAGGAUGUUGGCUCAGAAGCAGCCACCAUUUAAAGAGUGCGUAAUAGCUCACUGGUCGAGAGACGCUGCGCCGAAAAUGUCCGGGGCUCAAGCACGGAACCGAAGCUAUGGCAUGAUAGCAAUAUCAUGGGUAGGGGAGCGUUCUUAUAAGGAAGAAGCAUGACCGGAAGGACAUGUGGACGAAUAAGAAGUGAGAAUGCCGGUAUGAGUAUCGAAAAGAAAGGUGAGAAUCCUUUCCACCGAAAGCCCGAGGGUUCCUGAGCAACGAUCGUCGACUCAGGGUAAGUCGGGACCUAAGCCGAGGCGAGAAGCGUAGGCGAUGGACAACAGGUUGAAAUUCCUGUACCGGAUCAAGUCGAUCGAGCGAAGGAGCGACGCAGGAGGGCACAUGAUCGCGCGGCUGGAAGAGCGCGUCCAAGUGCGUAUGUUGCAGCAGAGGAAAACCCCUGCAGCUAAAAGCAGAGACAUGAUGGGGAGUUAAAGGAAACUUUGACGAACUCAUGGAUCCCACACUGCCAAGAAAAACUUCUAGCGAGACAAGAUCCGCCCGUACCGUAAACCGACACAGGUAGGCGGGGAGAGAAUCCUAAGGUGCGCGGGAAAACCCUCGUUAAGGAACUCGGCAAAUUGCAUCCGUAACCUAGGGAGAAGGAUGGCCCCCGGUCAGUGAAGAGCAGAAACGCUCAGAGCUAAAAGGGGCGGCAGAAAAGAGGCCCAAGCAACUGUUUACCAAAAACACAGGUGCCUGCGAAAGCGAAAGCUGAAGUAUAGGUGCUGACGCCUGCCCGGUGCCGGAAGGUUAAGGAGAGAAGUUAGCGAAAGCGAAGCAUCGAACUGAAGCCCCGGUGAACGGCGGCCGUAACUAUAACGGUCCUAAGGUAGCGAAAUUCCUUGUCGGGUAAG
rnacentral:rRNA from 1 species